rnacentral:rRNA from 1 species
GACGAACGCUGGCGGCGUGCUUAACACAUGCAAGUCGAACGGUGAAGCGCCUUCCUUUUUGGUGGGUGUGGAUGAGUGGCGAACGGGUGAGUAACACGUGAGUAACCUGCCCCCUUCUUCUGGAUAACCGCAUGAAAGUGUGGCUAAUACGGGAUAUUCUGGGUCUGUCGCAUGAUGGGUCUGGGAAAGAUAUUGUUUCGGUGGGGGAUGGGCUCGCGGCCUAUCAGCUCGUUGGUGGGGUGAUGGCCUACCAAGGCGGUGACGGGUAGCCGGCCUGAGAGGGUGGACGGUCACACUGGGACUGAGACACGGCCCAGACUCCUACGGGAGGCAGCAGUGGGGAAUAUUGCACAAUGGGCGCAAGCCUGAUGCAGCGACGCCGCGUGAGGGAUGGAGGCCUUCGGGUUGUGAACCUCUUUCGCCAGUGAAGCAGGCCUGCCUCGUUUGUGGGUGGGUUGACGGUAGCUGGAGAAGAAGCGCCGGCUAACUACGUG